GUUCAUCCAUCUUGUAAUGUAUUGGCAUGGUGGUGUUGUGGCGCAACCCCGGGAUGCGAGGAAUGACACUCGAUUGCAGGCAAGAACAGAACAGGGCAACACAAAAACAUGGCAUUGACACAGGAGCGCAGGUGGAUAACGUGCAACUAAGAGACAAACUGGAGAUUGCCUUGGUCUGGACGGAAACAGGAUGACAUGGAGCAGAAGCGGGAUGCGUCUUUUCCACCAGACACUGACGAAGCAGCAGAAGAGGCAAAUUGUGCCUUCUGGCUUGCUGCAGUGAGCCCUGCGUCUUGACCAACAAGAAAGGGAGCAGAUUGUGCUUCCUCUAACGCACAGCAGAUGGCACCAUCUGGUGAAGGGGUGUCACACAGUAUGUUGAUACAAUAUGUUACCUAUUCUCCCUAGUCCUCUCCCUAGUCCUCUCCCUAGUCCUCUCCCUAGUGCUCAGUGUAGUUGCAUGUAGGUGUACACAGAUAUUUUUUGAAGUCGUUGCUCAGUUAUUUGUGUAAUGAUUUCAGUUUGUUCAUGUGGAACAAAAAACAGUGUACCUGUUAGAUCCGAGUGGAUAUGCUGCAGAAAAGAAGGCGUCAAAAAUGGCUGCAAACAAAACUAAAGUAAAUAUUUAUGCUUACAACUCACAUUAUGUAAAAUAAUACAUGUUUUUCCAGGGAAUACCUGCACAUGAGAAGGGUGCGCCACAAAGCAAAAGACUGGAUUGAUAUUGAUUGGGAAGGGGCGGUGAUGAAACAUCCACUGCAAAAGGAUGGAAGCAGUUGUGGUGUCAUCGUAGCCAAGAUGGCAAAGGAAAUUAUUCAGACGUUUCUAAGGAUCCCCAAUAUAAUGUUUUCUACAACGACAGACAGCAUGAGAACUGAAAGAAAAACAAUGGCCCUUGAACUUCUGCAGGGAUCAGUUUUCCAAAUGGAUUCCUGGUGUGUGAUCUGUGCCUCCAAAGACCCACCUACAUCUACUGCUGCCACAGCUACAUAGACUGUGAAGAGUGAUACUGCUUGGGUAAGAUUGAUAAUGCAGAAUGACAUUACAUUUACAGGACAUUAAUUGUUGAUUUUGACAGUUUCAUUUUUUCCCAUUAUGACAGAUUUAAUGUGACAUAUGUGACCGGUGGU